GCCGUGGUGGCUGAGUGGUAAGGCACCUGAUUGCUAAUCAGCGGUUUCCUUCACGGGAAGACAGGUUCGAUCCCUGUUCACGGCGCCA
rnacentral:tRNA from 2 species